GGCCACGUAGCUCAGGUGGAUAGAGCAACUGCCUCCUAAGCAGUAGGUCGUCGGUUCGAGUCCGACCGUGGCCUCCA
rnacentral:tRNA from 1 species